rnacentral:rRNA from 1 species
AUUGAACGCUGGCGGCAGGCCUAACACAUGCAAGUCGAGCGGUAGAAGGGCGUUUGCUCUUGACUUCCGCGGAAGACGGGAGUAUCAUGCCUAGGACCCUGCCUGGUCGCGGGGGUUAGCGUCCGGAACUGGGCGCUAUUCCCGCAUACGCCCUGCGGGAGAAAGUGUGGGGUCUUCGGAUCUCACGCCCUCAGAUGAGCCUAGGUCGGAUGAGCUAGUUGGUGGGGUAACGGCCUACCAAGGCGACGACGCGUAACUGGACUGAGAGGAUGAUCAGUCACACGGGAACGGAGACGCGGUCCAGACGCCGACGGGAGGUAGCGGUGGGGAAUAUUGGACAAUGGGCGGAAGCCUGAUCCAGCCAAGCCGCGGGUGUGAAGAAGGGCUUCGGAGUGUAAAGCACGUUGGGUUGGGAGGAAGGGCAGUAAGUUAAUACCGUGCUGUUUGGACGGUACCAACAGAAGAAGCACCGGCUAACUUCGUG